UCGCGCAAACUUUGCAAUACACGAAAGUGUGACAGGGCUAUCCCGAGUGCCGUCCGCUGAGGAUGGCUUUUACCCAGUCUAGAACGCUGGGGGAAUAAGGAGAGGGCAAGUCUGGUGUCAGCCGCCGCGGUAAUACCAGCUCUCCGAGUGGUGUGGAUGUUUAUUGGGCCUAAAGCAUCCGUAGCUGGCCAAGUUAGUCCCUUGUUAAACCCACCGAAUUAAUCGUUGGCGUGCGGGGGAUACUGCUCGGCUAGGGGACGAGAGAGGCAGACGGUAUUCUCGGGGUAGGGGUGAAAUCCUAUAAUCCCGAGAAGACCACCAGUGGCGAAGGCUGUCUGCUAGAACGCGCCCGACGGUGAGGGAUGAAAGCUGGGGGAGCGAACCGGAUUAGAUACCCGGGUAGUCCCAGCUGUAAACGAUGCAGGCUAGGUGUUUGGACGGCCACGUGCCGUUCUAGUGCCGCAGGGAAGCUGUUAAGCCUGCCGCCUGGGGAGUACGGUCGCAAGAUUGAAACUUAAAGGAAUUGGCGGGGG
rnacentral:rRNA from 1 species